rnacentral:rRNA from 1 species
ACGGCCGUACCAUGCUGAAUAUACCGGUUCUCGUUAGAUCACCGAAGUUAAGCAUCAUUGGGCGCGGUCAAAUGAUCACCUGGGAACACUGCGUGCCGUU